UGUAAGAUGGCUGAGGUUUAAAGCGGAAGACUGUAGAUCUUUUUACGGAGGUGGUUCCUUCUCUUAUAA
rnacentral:tRNA from 1 species